AUGACUAUCUUGAGCUGGAACUGUCGGGGCCUCGGGCAGCCCCGAACAGUUCAAGAGCUAGUGUGCCUCGUGCACAAAUUCAGGCCCAAGUUAGUUUUCCUAUCCGAGACGCGGCAGAGCAAUGCAUACGUCAAUAAAAUGAGGUGGAGGCUAGGCCUCAAACACUGUAUCAUGCACGCCGGCACUGGUAAAGGUGCGGGCAUCGCAUUGUUCUAUGAUGAGAGU
rnacentral:rRNA from 1 species